rnacentral:rRNA from 2 species
ACGUAAGUUUCAUACACGGAAUACUUGCAUUCACCGUAAGAAGUUGAUUGGCGGACGGGUGAGUAACACGUGGGUAACCUGCCUAAAAGAAGGGGAUAACACUUGGAAACAGGUGCUAAUACCGUAUAUCUCUAAGGAUCGCAUGAUCCUUAGAUGAAAGAUGGUUCUGCUAUCGCUUUUAGAUGGACCCGCGGCGUAUUAACUAGUUGGUGGGGUAACGGCCUACCAAGGUGAUGAUACGUAGCCGAACUGAGAGGUUGAUCGGCCACAUUGGGACUGAGACACGGCCCAAACUCCUACGGGAGGCAGCAGUAGGGAAUCUUCCACAAUGGACGCAAGUCUGAUGGAGCAACGCCGCGUGAGUGAAGAAGGUCUUCGGAUCGUAAAACUCUGUUGUUAGAGAAGAACACGAGUGAGAGUAACUGUUCAUUCGAUGACGGUAUCUAACCAGCAAGUCACGGCUAACUACGUGCCAGCAGCCGCGGUAAUACGUAGGUGGCAAGCGUUGUCCGGAUUUAUUGGGCGUAAAGGGAACGCAGGCGGUCUUUUAAGUCUGAUGUGAAAGCCUUCGGCUUAACCGGAGUAGUGCAUUGGAAACUGGAAGACUUGAGUGCAGAAGAGGAGAGUGGAACUCCAUGUGUAGCGGUGAAAUGCGUAGAUAUAUGGAAGAACACCAGUGGCGAAAGCGGCUCUCUGGUCUGUAACUGACGCUGAGGUUCGAAAGCGUGGGUAGCAGACAGGAUUAGAUACCCUGGUAGUCCACGCCGUAAACGAUGAAUGCUAGGUGUUGGAGGGUUUCCGCCCUUCAGUGCCGCAGCUAACGCAAUAAGCAUUCCGCCUGGGGAGUACGACCGCAAGGUUGAAACUCAAACGAAUUGACGGGGGCCCGCACAAGCGGUGGAGCAUGUGGUUUAUUUCUAAUCAACGCGAAGAACCUUACCACGUCUUGACAUCCUUUGACCACCUAAAAAAUUAGGCUUUCC